rnacentral:tRNA from 1 species
AGUACAUGUACUAAAUAUCCGCAGGGGAUAGUUUAGGUAGAAUUUCAGCUUUGGGAGCUGAGGGCAA